AUCUAAUGGUGAGGGCAGUUGACACGCAGCUAUUUGAACCGCUUCCAGUAUUCAUAGAGAAUUUCUCCAUUGGCCUGCCUAACUCCACAUAUCUCCUUUCUGAUGUU